AUGCCACCAAUUUGUAAGUCGCUCUGGAUAAGAGCGUCUGCUAAAUGACGUAAA
rfam:Salmo salar isolate Sally breed double haploid chromosome ssa22, whole genome shotgun sequence.